AGAACGAACGCUGGCGGCGUGGAUAAGACAUGCAAGUCGAGCGAGAUUUUUCGUUGUAGCAAUACGAUGGAAAGUCUAGCGGCGAACGGGUGCUUAACACGUGGGCAACCUGCCAUGAAGUGGGGGAUAGCUCGCCGAAAGGCGAAUUAAUACCGCAUGUGAUUAGAGAGGACAUCCUUUCGAAAUUAAAGUCGGGGCAACCUGACGCUUCUUGUGGGGCCCGCGGCCUAUCAGCUAGUUGGUGGGGUAAAGGCCUACCAAGGCGACGACGGGUA
rnacentral:rRNA from 1 species